AUUGAACGCUGGCGGCAGGCCUAACACAUGCAAGUCGAACGAGUGGCGGACGGGUGAGUAAUGGCUGGGAAACUGCCUGAUGGAGGGGGAUAACUACUGGAAACGGUAGCUAAUACCGCAUACCAUCGGAUGUGCCAAGAGGGGAUUUGCUAGUAGGGGGGGUAAAGGCUCACCUAGGCGACGAUCCCUAGCUGGUCUGAGAGGAUGACCGGCCACACUUGAACUGAGACACGGUCCAGACUCCUCCGGGCGGCAGCAGUGGGGAAUAUUUCACAAUGGGCGCAAGCCUGAUGCAGCCAUGCCGCGUGUAUGAAGAAGGCCUUCGGGUUGUAAAGUACUUUCAGCGGGGAGGCGUUACCCGCAGAAGAAGCACCGGCUAACUCCGUGCCAGCAGCCGCGGUAAUUC
rnacentral:rRNA from 1 species